CCUCUUUUUCAUUCUCCAUCGUUCUUCAAUUCAUCAAUCUUCCCGCCGGAUUCUCUCUACGACUAUGUCUUCCUCACUUCAGUCCCCUUUUCCGGCCGUCAGAACCGUCACCAUAUCGUACUUAGAGCUACAAGAUCGGACUGUUGACUUGUCGGCGAAGAUUGAAGAAGGAUUCGGACCGAAGGGGCUGGGAAUUCUAUCGGUUUCUGAUGUCCCUGGAUUUCCCUCCUUGCGGCAGGACCUUCUACGUCUUUCAUCGAGAUUAGCUAGGUUACCAGAAGAUGCGAAGAAGGAGCUGGAAGACCCGGAUAGUAGGUAUAAUUUUGGAUGGAGCCAUGGGAAAGAGAAACUUGAAUCUGGGAAGCCUGAUUUGUUGAAAGGCUCAUUCUAUGCCAAUCCGAUAUUGGAUAGCCCAACAACGGAUGCAUCUUUAAUUCAAAGGUAUCCAUCAUACUGUGGUUCAAAUAUUUGGCCUACUAAAGAACUCCCAGAACUUGAAUUAGCCUUCAAAGCUCUUGGAAAGCUGAUUCUUGAUGUUGGUUUGAUGUUGGCAUAUCAUUGCGACCGAUAUGCUGCUAAAAUGAUGAAACUGCAUGAGGAUGAAACCCUUGAAAAGAUACUUCUCAACUCCCGGUGUCAUAAAGGGCGAUUGCUUUAUUAUUUUCCAGCAAACCAGAGCACUUCUGAUGAAGAUAAUGAUAAUCUAUCCUCUUGGUGUGGAUGGCAUACAGAUCAUGGUUCACUAACAGGUCUAACCUGUGCAAUGUUUACAAGAGAUGGUGGGGAGAUACCUUGCCCUGAUAGUGCUGCUGGCCUUUAUGUCCGGACAAGAGCUGAUGAAAUUGUUAAAGUUUAUUAUGGAGAAAAUGAAAUCGCGUAUCAGAUUGGCGAAACUACAGAGAUUUUGUCCAGCGGCUAUUUGUGUGCAACACCACAUUGUGUUCGGGCACCUAAAGGGACGGAAGCUUUUAAUCUCGAACGCUCCACAUUUGCACUGUUCAUGCAACCCGAUUGGGAUCAAAAGCUCAAUUUUCCUGACGAGGUUCAUAUUCAUAAAGAGUUCAUUCCCUCAAAUUGUGCUCUGACAUUCGGAGAGUACUCCGAGAAAUUGCUCGACAAAUAUUACCAUAGCAAAUCAUAAAUACGAGCUUCAAAUCUUGUGUGAACCCUUUUCAACCGCUAGUAUUCUAAAGAUUUGUAGGCUGCUGAUAGUUGACGACACCAAGAGAAAUAUAAAUCUUUUUUUUUAUUCUUUUAGAAAGAAAAAAGGAAUAUAAAUCUGUUUGUUGAGAGGAAAAGGGCAAAUCAUAUUGAACUCCCAACCUAAUCCGUUAGCCGCCAAGCGUAUAAAGGACAAAACCCUUUAAUUUUUGUGGUUUAAAAUAUAGGACACUUCUGUCUUCUUCUAGAAUGCUCAACGACAGCUUAUUUCCUUUU